AUGAGAUGCAUCCCGUUACAGAAAAACAAGACCAAGUGUGAAGAAAACAAGACCAAGUGUGAAGAAAACAAGUUAAGAAAUGAUUUGCCUGAAAACCCAAGAGCUCCAUCUGUCUUCCCUUUGAUACCCUGCUGUGGAUGUGAAGCCUCUGGUACACAUGUCAGUGUUGGAUGUUUGGUCAGUGGAUAUCUUCCCACACCAGUAAAUGUUAAUUGGAACUCAGGCUCCAUAACUGAGAUGAAGAACUUCCCUGCGGUAAUGAGUGGCGGCCUGUUCACAUCUAGCAGCCAGCUGAUUAUUCCUGUGACUGACUGGAAAAAUAAAAAGUUUCACUGCACAGUGGAACACACACCAACUAGUUUCAAAGUCAGCAUAGAUAUACCAGAGUGUACACAAUCCACAUCACUAGAAAGCCCACCAAAGGUGCAAGUUAUGCAGUCCUCAUGUGGGGAUAGCCCUGAGAAUGACACCGUUGACCUAAUUUGCCUUAUAUCUGAAUAUGCUCCUAAGGACAUCCGUGUGCAGUGGCUGCUGAACGGAAAGGCAACAUCCAUAGCCCCAUUAAACAGCGUUCCAUUUAAAAGUGAACAAGGCACAUUUGAAUCCAGAAGCCAAGUUUCUGUCCCCAAGUCAGAUUGGAAUUCAGGAGACACCUACACCUGUAAGGUGAUACACGAGGCCACUGACUCUAAACCAGAGAGAAACAUCCGAAAAUGCUUAGAGACCUCUAGCAAUCCACUCCCAAAGGUUUCUCUUUAUCCACCUACACCCAAAGACCUACUAGUCAGCAGACAAGGCAAGGUAACUUGUGAGGUGUCUAAAUUGGAAGUUGCCGAAACCUUGGAAAUCAGCUGGGCCCGCAGUGAUGACAAAAGACCUGUGGUGUUUGAAGAUGAGCCAGAGCGACAGUACGAUGGCACUUUCACUGUAAAGAGCAUCUUGAAGAUAACCCCACAAGAUUGGAAUAACUUAAAAGAGUUCACAUGUACAGCAAAGCAUAGUCAACUCCCAAGUCCAAUAUCAAAGACAAUAAAGAAAGGAAAUGAUAUGACAAAAGAACCUGUUGUCUACGUGUACCCACCUACAACGGAAGAGCUUAACAAUAAUGACUUUGUAAGUCUUAUCUGCCUGCUUAAGGGUUUCUUUCCCAAAGAAGUUUAUGUUCAAUGGAAAAAGAAUGGUGUUACACAAGAUGAAAGCCAUUACCUUAACAGUGAGCCCAUAUUAGAAGAAGAAGAAGAGUACGUCAUGUUCAGUAAGCUAAGCAUUGCUAAAUCUGACUGGAAUCGAGGAGCCACCUUUACUUGCGUUGGGAUACAUGACAAAAUCACUGAGAGAGACAUCAAAAAAUCUAGGGAUUUCAUUGACUGUGACGGUAACAUUGGAGAUGAUGAUGAUGAUGAUGAUGACAGUCUUUGGACCACAACUGGCACAUUCAUCACUUUGUUCCUCAUAAGCAUAUUCUACAGUGCAACUAUAACUCUAGUUAAGGUGAAAUGGUUAAUUUCAAGAAUACUUCAGUUAGAAAUGCAUGAAGACAAUCAUUUCAUCUCAGUACUUGACACAGGCACACAAUGAGAAGAAAGACUUGCCUACAAGGACAUAAUUGUUAAGACUUUAAUAAGAUUUACCCACGUAAUACUAACACAACUAUUAUUCUGAAAUGUUCCUGCGCAU